AGUGAACGCUGGCGGUAGGCCUAACACAUGCAAGUCGAACGGCAGCACAGUAAGAGCUUGCUCUUACGGGUGGCGAGUGGCGGACGGGUGAGGAAUACAUCGGAAUCUACUUUUUCGUGGGGGAUAACGUAGGGAAACUUACGCUAAUACCGCAUACGACCUACGGGUGAAAGCAUGGGAUCUUCGGACCUUGCGCGAUUGAAUGAGCCGAUGUCGGAUUAGCUAGUUGGCGGGGUAAAGGCCCACCAAGGCGACGAUCCGUAGCUGGUCUGAGAGGAUGAUCAGCCACACUGGAACUGAGACACGGUCCAGACUCCUACGGGAGGCAGCAGUGGGGAAUAUUGGACAAUGGGCGCAAGCCUGAUCCAGCCAUACCGCGUGGGUGAAGAAGGCCUUCGGGCUGUAAAGCACUUUUGUUGGGAAAGAAAAGCAGCAGGUUAAUACCCCGCUGUUCUGACGGUACCAAAAGAAUAAGCACCGGCUAACUUCGUG
rnacentral:rRNA from 1 species